rnacentral:rRNA from 1 species
GACGAACGCUGGCGGCGUGCUUAACACAUGCAAGUCGAGCGAGGCCCCUCCUUCGGGAGGGUGUCCUAGCGGCGAACGGGUGAGUAACACGUGGGCAGCCUGCCCUCAGCUCUGGGAUAACUCCGGGAAACCGGGGCUAAUACCGGAUACGACCUCCACGGGCAUCUGCGGAGGUGGAAAGUUUUUCGGCUGAGGAUGGGCCCGCGGCCUAUCAGCUAGUUGGUGGGGUAGUGGCCCACCAAGGCGACGACGGGUAGCCGGCCUGAGAGGGCGACCGGCCACACUGGGACUGAGACACGGCCCAGACUCCUACGGGAGGCAGCAGUGGGGAAUAUUGCGCAAUGGGCGAAAGCCUGACGCAGCGACGCCGCGUGAGGGACGAAGGCCUUCGGGUUGUAAACCUCUUUCAGCAGGGACGAAGCGAAAGUGACGGUACCUGCAGAAGAAGCACCGGCCAACUACGUG